UAUAGGCAGAAGCUGUUCCUUGUAUAUAUUUUAUGAAGGCAGAAUUCUCUACUGUUGAAAAUGCCAGUAAAAGUAACGAUGACAAUAUCUGUUCCACCGGUAUCAUGAGCAAUGAUCCAAGAAAUGAUAACAUUAAUGUGAAUUAUUUGCAGUCCACAACAGUAACAGAGAAUGAAUAUUAUUUUUGUUCGCAUAUAUAUUUUAAAUGUUUUGGUUUGCGCACACCAGCAGCAAAUCGAAACAAAUACCAAGAUGUUAGCUUUUCAAUAAUCAAAUAAGAUGUUUAACCAAAGUAUAAAUUUGAAAGAUGCCAAAAUAUUAUUUUAUAUAUCCUGCUUGAUAUCUAAAUACAAUCAAAAGUUAUAUUUUCGAUAUGGAUAGCGAUCCUGUUCAUUGUACUAAAAUAGGCAAAUUUAAAAAAAUUCCUUCGAAUAAUUGCCUUAUUCCCUUGAUACAGGAAGGUGCUCAUUGCAACAGCAAGAAGAGAUGCUUAAAUUCCGAUUCUAUUGAAUUAAUUUCUAAUGAUUCAACGCCCAUUCAAGCAUUACUUCAUUGAAAUAAGAAUUUGUGCCUUAUAUGAAAUAAAUUUUUUAUACAUAA